CUCCCAGGCUCAAGUGAUCCUCUCAUGUCUGCCUACCAAGUAGCUGGGACCACAGGCAUGCGCCACCACAUCCAGCUAAUUUUUUGAUUUUUUUUUUGUAGAGACAAAAAAAAGUGUUGUCCAGGCUGGUCUCGAACUCCUGGGCUCAAGCAGUCCUCUUGCCCCGGCCUGCCAAGUAGCUGGAACUAUAGGCGUGUGCCCCACACCCGGCAGGCAUGGGGUUUCAGGCAGCAGAGGGUGGCAGGAUCGGCUGCUCUGAUCCAAGAGGCUCCCGGCUCUCCCCCAGCUGGGGUCUUAGGGGGCUGUAGUGCAUGUCCACUCUACAAAUGGCAGGGGGGGUGGAGGUGGCUGUGCCUACGCUGAGCUCCUUUGUAGCCUCUCCUUUCUCCCUCUCCAGGGAAGAGGACCCAGAUGAUGUGCCCCAUGGACAUAUCACCUCAUUGGCUGUGAAGCGUUCCCACCGGCGCCUUGGUCUGGCUCAGAAACUGAUGGACCAGGCCUCUCGAGCCAUGAUAGAGAACUUCAAUGCCAAAUACGUCUCCCUGCAUGUCAGGAAGAGUAACCGGGCCGCCCUGCACCUCUAUUCCAACACCCUCAACUUUCAGAUCAGUGAAGUGGAGCCCAAAUACUAUGCAGAUGGGGAGGAUGCCUAUGCCAUGAAGCGGGACCUCACUCAGAUGGCCGACGAGCUGAGGCGGCACCUGGAGCUGAAAGAGAAGGGCAGGCACGUGGUGCUGGGUGCCAUCGAGAACAAGGUGGAGAGCAAAGGCAAUUCACCUCCGAGCUCAGGAGAGGCCUGUCGCGAGGAGAAGGGCCUGGCUGCCGAGGAUAGUGGUGGGGACAGCAAGGACCUCAGCGAGGUCAGCGAGACC
rnacentral:sRNA from 1 species